rnacentral:lncRNA from 1 species
CUGUAGCCUCGAACUCCCAGGCUCAAGAGAUCCUCCUGCCUGAGCCUACCAAGUAGCUGGGACUACAGGCACUUGCCACCACGCCCGACUAAUUUUUUUUUUUAAUGUUUUGGAGAGAUGGGGGUGUCUCACUAUAUUGCCCAGGCUGGUCUUGAACUCCUAGCGUCAAGGGCUCCUCCUGCCUCAGCCUCCCAAAGUGUUGGGAUUAAAGGUGUGAGCCACCACACCUAGCCUCUUCUAAUCUUCACAAAAAUUGUGCUCUGUGAGUCAGGAACUACAGGAAGAUCUCUAGAAUAUCAUUACCUCCCUUAAAGAAUGGUUCCCAGGCCGGGCGCAGUGACUCAUGCCUAUAAUCCCAGCACUUUGGGAGGCUGAGGCGGGCAGAUCACCUGAGGUCAGAAGUUUGAGACGAGGCUGACCAACAUGGAGAAACCCCAUCUCUACUAAAAAUACAAAAUUAGCCAGGCAUGGAGGCACAUGCUUGUAAUCCCAGCUACUUUGGAGGCUGAGGCAGGAGAAUCGCUUGAACCCAGGAGGCAGAGGUUGCGGUGAGCCGAGAUCGCACCAUUGCACUCCAGCCUGGGCAACAAGAACGAAACUCCAUCUCAAAAAAAAAAAAAAGAAUGGCUCCCAAUCUGAGCUCUAUUGUCUAGAUGGGAUCUGGACAGAGGGACUGUUGUCUUUUCUGCAUAUUCUUCUAUCACCAUGCCCUAUUUGGGAGGUGGGUUUGCUCAAGCAGCAGUGAGGCAAUGCUGUUCCUGGUGUUCUCCAGCCAGGGACCAUCACACUGGCCAGUGCUGAGAUAAGGAGCCUGUGGCAGAAGGUAAGCCAGUUACCUCACUAAGCACUGCUGCUCCCCUGCCUGGCCUCCACAGCAAGAUUUUCUCCAUGAAGGAAGCUGGAUGUAGAUUUCUGUUCCAGCCCAGUCUCCUGAUCUCAUCGAGAACUGGCACUGUGAGUGGCACUGAGCGAAGCCACUGUCCCCAGUGUUGUUUCUUCUUUCAUGCUGCAUCACAGACUUGACAUCGAGUACAUUCCCACUGCCUUUCAGUAAAUGAAACUAUUGGGGGUAGAAUUCCUACAAAGAAUUCUCACAGAUGCUGGGGAGGAGGCCAGUUGGUGGGAAGGCGUGAUAGGGAGGCACGGAGGAGAAGUCCUUAGAUUGAGUGCCAAGACUUCUGUUUUAGUCCGGGCCUUGUCACUGACCAGCGGCGGAUAAGGAAAUUCCCACAUCAGGACUAAUUUUCCCCACCUGGUAAAGGAGGUGGCUGAGCUAGGUCAUUUCUUAGGGCCUCCCAAUUCUUGACCUCUAGGAUCCAACCCUUGAGUCAAAUGACUUCCAUGCCCUAAAUGUCCCCACGCUGGGCCCUUCCACAAUUUUUGUGUCCUCAUCGCGGCCCACUAUGUUGUCUUCUCUGAGUGCUUUGCCUGGUAACAAAUCAGCUGGCUUCAGAAUGGGACCAUCACAAUGAUAUCUGGCUGCCAGACAAAAAGAUAAGAGAAUUAGAGAGUAUGGAGCUGAACAGAAUCCUCAAAAAUGUGUCUGCCCCCAGAGACUGGUCACUACUUUUGUCAAGCAUGAAGGUAUCCAUAAAUGUGUGCCAUUAGAGAUGUCCUGAAGGAACUCUGAUGUGCCUCUCUCACCCUCUGCCAGAGGCUGAAUAAUGACUUCAAAUUUAUCAGGUCCCAAUCUCUGGAACCUGUAAAGGUUAUCAUUAUCUUAUUCUUUUGUUUUGGAGACAGAGUCAUGCUCUG